rnacentral:rRNA from 1 species
UAAACGACUCUCGACAACGGAUAUCUCGGCUCUCGCAUCGAUGAAGAACGUAGCGAAAUGCGAUACUUGGUGUGAAUUGCAGAAUCCCGUGAACCAUCGAGUUUUUGAACGCAAGUUGCGCCCGAAGCCGUUAGGCCAAGGGCACGUCUGCCUGGGCGUCAC